rnacentral:rRNA from 1 species
UACGAAGGGGGCUAGCGUUGCUCGGAAUCACUGGGCGUAAAGGGUGCGUAGGCGGGUCUUUAAGUCAGGGGUGAAAUCCUGGAGCUCAACUCCAGAACUGCCUUUGGUACUGAGGAUCUUGAGUUCGGGAGAGGUGAGUGGAACUGCGAGUGUAGAGGUGAAAUUCGUAGAUAUCGGGAGGAACACCGGUGGCGAAGGCGGCGAUCUGGGUCGAUACUGACGCUGAGGUGCGAAAAGCGUGGGGAGCAAACAGG